rnacentral:rRNA from 1 species
CCUACGGGUGGCAGCAGUGGGGAAUAUUGGGCAAUGGGCGCAAGCCUGACCCAGCAAUGCCGCGUGAAGGAAGAAGGCUUUCGGGUUGUAAACUUCUUUGACAGGGGAAGAGCAGAAGACGGUACCCUGAAAACAAGCCACGGCUAACUACGUGCCAGCAGCCGCGGUAAUACGUAGGUGGCAAGCGUUGUCCGGAUUUACUGGGUGUAAAGGGCGUGUAGCCGGGAAGGCAAGUCAGAUGUGAAAAUUAUGGGCUCAACCCAUAACCUGCAUUUGAAACUGUAGUUCUUGAGUGAUGGAGAGGCAGGCGGAAUUCCGGGUGUAGCGGUGAAAUGCGUAGAUAUACGGAGGAACACCAGUGGCGAAGGCGGCCUGCUGGACAUUAACUGACGCUGAGGCGCGAAAGCGUGGGGAGCAAACAGGAUUAGAUACCCGAGUAGUC